ACCUGGUUGGCUCAGUUGAUAGAGUGCAUGACUCUUGAUCUCAGGAUCGUGGGUUCAAGCCCCAUAUUGGGUA
rnacentral:tRNA from 1 species